AUAAAAGGAGCUUGAAGAGAAGGGCAGGCAGAAGCUGACCCUGCAGGAGAACGACACACUGCCGAGCAAAGGAGCAGGUGGGAUCUGCAUGCCAGAACAGACGGCCUAGUACAGAGGAUCAGGGCAGAGGGAGCCUCUGCCCGCGCCUGUAACUGGGGAUCGAAGAAGGUGUGCUGCAGAUGGGCGGCCUCCACCAGGAGCAUCAUUUCUAAGUGGAGCUCAACCCCUGGUCCUAGUUGGUGACUUUUAAGACAAUUGGUUAAUUGCUGUUUUUAAAGGAAGAAGAAAAGGACUCUUUUAUGGUGCCACUAUUGCUGUGACUGUCCUUCUGUGGAAUAAAUCAUCUUGAACUGGACUGUU